AAAAUUACACCGNUUGGAAAGGUCUUCUUUUUUUCUUUCUAAAUAUGUACUUAGACAUUAGAAAGCAGAUCGCUGCGGUCAUCCAGAUCACUUUUUGUUAGUUCAGUGCCCGGUGGGUGGACCCCAAACCCCAUGUCUCAAGGCGUGUUAUGGCACAUAAAGACAUAAUCACAGAUAGAAGACCCAGUGUUGACAAGACAACACACGGACGCCAUACUAGUGAAGUUCCUGCACUACAACGGCCCAGUACGUAACCCUCCAAUUCGGCAAACUGCAGCAGCUCAAUCUAUCAUCGCUCAGUCAUCAAUCUGCGUGUUAGGGAUGUACGUUUCCCUGGGUGCCCUGCUGCUGCUGCUGUGCUUCCUGCUCCUGCAAGCCUCUGAUCGCCUUGUCAUUCUUUAUACUGGAUUCCCUUGACAUUAUUCAUCAAAACUACGUAGCACAGCUCGAAGACGCGGCUAUAGCCCUUCAAAAUACAGCUUGACUGCAGAUCUCGGCUUGGUCCAACUAAUACUUGACACUAUCCAAACCCAAAUCUAGCACUAUCUCGUACUAUUUUUACUAUAUUAUUUUACUAUGUACGAACGCGGUACGAGCGUCGUAAACUAGUGCCAGUUUAGAGCCCUGCAUACUAUGUAGUACUAUGCAUAGUACUAUUAUAGUAUAGUACUCUUUUCUAAUAUAGUACCCGUGCCAACCCUAGUGUGUCGUGAUAUGCGUGCAGAAUGUCUACACGCAGCUUGNGGUCGUUGGGCACAAUGAUUCUGUUGCCCUUGAACCACAUUCCGUCAGCGAACGAAACCGUGCCCCACUCGGCGUCUGGUUNNN
rnacentral:lncRNA from 1 species